rnacentral:rRNA from 1 species
GGGUCAGUAGGUUGGUCGUGCCACCGGUACGUACUGGUCUCACUGAUUCCUCCUUACAGAAGAACCGUAAUGCCAUUAAUUUGGUGUUGCGGGGAAACAGGACUGUUACUUUGAAAAAAUUAGAGUGUUUAAAGCAAGCUAACGCUUGAAUACAUUAGCAUGGAAUAAUGAAAUAGGACGAUCGAUCCUAUUUUGUUGGUUUCUAGGAUUGACGUA